UGGGGAAUUUUGGACAAUGGGCGCAAGCCUGAUCCAGCCAUGCCGCGUGCAGGAUGAAGGCCCUCGGGUUGUAAACUGCUUUUGUACGGAACGAAAAGCCUCUUUCUAAUAAAGAGGGGUGAUGACGGUACCGUAAGAAUAAGCACCGGCUAACUACGUGCCAGCAGCCGCGGUAAUACGUAGGGUGCGAGCGUUAAUCGGAAUUACUGGGCGUAAAGCGUGCGCAGGCGGUCUUGCAAGACAGUGGUGAAAUCCCCGGGCUCAACCUGGGAACUGCCAUUGUGACUGCAAGGCUGGAGUACGGCAGAGGGGGAUGGAAUUCCAGGUGUAGUGGUGAAAUACGUAGAUAUCUGGAAGAACACCUGUUGCGAAGGCGGUCUCUUGGUCCGACACUGACGCUGAGGCGCGAAAGCGUGGGGAACAUACA
rnacentral:rRNA from 1 species